rnacentral:lncRNA from 1 species
UCACAUAAAUUGAGACACAGGACUACCAUUUCAUACAGGAUCGACACAGAGCAAUCAACAUCCACGAAAAACAAAAAAAUCAAUUGCAUUAUCUUCUUUACAAUUUUCGUUUUGCGAAGCUCACAAGGGAAAUAAUUCUAUUUUGGCUAAUCUCUGCACAUAAAAUGCAUAGGUAUGUUGAAGGCAUUGUUAGCAAGGGAACUAAAAUUUACAUGAGAAAAUGAAAGGACACUUGCAUUAUUCUCUUUAUACAUUAUUAAGGAGGCAGACUUACAUGGAUGGGAAUAGGUCACUCACUGACCCCGCUAACUUUGGAAUACAUAUAUAGCGCAAUCACAGAACAAUAGAAAAGAUUCUGGUAAUAUAUGGAAAGAUUCAUCACAAUCUUCGCGUAUUAAAACAAGAAUAUCCCAAUCAAGUCAUCGAGUGACUUAAAAUAGCAUCUAUGCUUAGUCCCAUCCAGCGAAACCUUGAAAACAAUCAUAUAUUUCAUCGGGCACUAUAAGAACAUCUGAGACAAUCUACCACGAGAGGAAUACAAUCUAGUUUUGGAUUUGUAGACAUCACUUAGCUUCCAUCAUCACUAGCUUUAGAUUCGUCGUCACCACUAGUUUCUUGUUCCCGGUAGCAGAGAUUGCAAUAAGAAAGUACAAUUUUGAUGCAUCAUAUUUCUAACUAGAAAUAUUUGGCAACUAGAAAAAAGUUGAUUCAACGCACAAAACCAAAAAUAACUAACUGAAUAAGAGAAUUUACUAGCUACAGAACAUGUUAUAUAUAUAUAACACUUAAGCUAGGUGUAUUAAUGUUGGAGACAAAUAUAAAUUAGUUAUACAGAGGCACAAGACAAACCUUGAAUAGAAGUUCUAUAUCGUCUUACUGAGAUCAUUUUGCGCCUAAGCAUCUUGAUUUCCCCCUCUACUAUCAUCAUUCCUCCAGCUUGGUUUACUCAUGGAUCUUAGGACAAACGUCUUCAUUUCAGUACUGCUUUUAAUGUCCAUUUCUCUAAGAAAUGGAAAUUCUAGAGCGUUCUUCAUCAGAAAGAAAUGAAAUGUGGUAGCUUGCUAAGCUCCAGCUUUUCCAACAGGGAAAUAAGAACUUGUUAGUCAUUUCUUCUCCUAGUUCCUCUCCCGUCAUCACUUCUCCUUUGAUGGAUAAUUUACUAUCAACAAUAUUCAGAGAUUCAAAACAUAUAUGGAGACAUCAAGUUUCACAAUUUGUCAUACUGAUUACUUCCAAUAUUUUGAGUUCACUGAACUAGCCAGUCGGCCGGGGGUCUAUCGGAAACAGCCUCUCUACCUCUUGAGAGGUAGUGGUAUGGAUUGCGUACACACUACCCUACCCUCCCCAGACCCCACUAUGUGGGAAUAUACUGGGUUUGUUGUUGUUGUUGAAAUAGUCAGUCGAAAGUUGGUGAGAGCGUAAAGCGGUUAUGUUGUCAUCCCCAACGAGGUCUAGUCUUUACAGGCUCAAAAGUUUGGAAGCCAUGCAUUUCAUACAUCUUCAAUUACAAACAGAAAAAAUGGAACCACAUCUCAAUAUCCAACAUUAAGGUAACAUGAAGUAAAGAAAUCCAUUCAACUUGGUCGGCACAUUUUUUGAGCCAUUUCUGCUUGUGAAUAUACGUUCGCUCUUCUUAUUUCUCAUCAGGAGGCAGAUUCAAUAACCCAAUGAGAUGGUCUCAAUAACAUGGAGAUCUAUAUUCAUGUAAUAAGUGUUUGACAGCAAAGACACAUGGCAAAAACAACCUUCGUCCACUUUUAAAUCGUAGUGUUAACUUGGAGGAACGGACCACUCUAAUAAAAUUCAUAUCCAAAACUCUAUUAGUCAAUUUUUGUAUCUUUUGUGACAACACCUUUAAACAAGGGCGUAAUGGAGCUACAUAUUAACACAUUGAGUUUACUCAUUCCAACGAAUAAAUCAUUAAAAUAGUUUUAACAUUCACCACUCAAGCAAAACAUUGGUUUAGGAUCAACUACCAAAUAAUUUUCUAUAUUGAAAAUGAAAAGCACGAACAACAUUGGAUAUCAUCACAAAUUCCUUUCCAGACGAAUCUAAUUCGAGAGUUCUAUGCAAUCACAAACCCCUCCUUAAUCUGGUCCGAGAAUUUUAUGCGAUUACAAAUCGCUUCUGGUCCGAGAAUUUUAUGCGAUUACAAAUCGCUUCUCGAAGCUAGAUGCUCUAGAAGCUAGUGAGAGAAUUUUAUGCAAUUACUGCCUGCCGAAAAUAGUCCGAAAAUCCUAUAACGGGUGAGAUAAAAAAUUCUAUGCUAUUACCAAUCUCUUCCUAUAACGGGUGAGAUCAAACUCUAACACGUGCCUAUUCUAUUACCAAUCUCUUCGGUGCGAUCAAACACGUGCCUACUUCGGGUGCGAUCAAACUCUACAGCCUUUUUAGAACAUGUGCCUGCUCUGGUUUAACUACACGUUCAACAGCCAAAUCCGCACUUUGGAAGAAGCAGCUCCUAAACCAAAUCCACACUUUGGAAGAAAAGGAGAGGAUCUUCAUCCGAGAAAGGGAGGACCUUAUAGUUAGGAUGGCCUUCUGCAUCCGCAGUGAAAACAACUAAGCGUUGUUCGACUCAUCUGGAGUUGAAGAAGGUUUAACUGAAUGUCUGUUCUGUAAUGUGUUUUAAUUAAAGUUGUUCUUGUUUUUUGUGGAGAUCUACUACUAUGCGUUGCAUCUUCGUUGAGUAUGUAUUCCCUUAUAAUGUUGUGUUGUGUGGCUGAUCUAUACGACCUUCCCAUAUAAGAAAAUGCAAUACAAGUGAUUUCUUUUCUACCCCUACCAUACCACAUAUUCCAAUAAUAGUGAUGCUUUCAUUUCUCAAAGCCACCAUUACCUCUUCCUCAAUCGAUUUUCUUGAUGCAAACUCCUCAUCGCCGUUAUUUGGUAUAGCUUCAAUUCCAACAAGUGGUGCAGGAUAGGAGAAAUCAACAUAAUCUCCGCCAUCCACUGCAAUUUUCUUAGCUCUUCUGCUCAGCAAGUAACUGUUAGAUCUACAAAAUUGCAGAUUCAUGUGUUGAGAAAACCCUAAAGGUGGAGAAGAAAGAGGAGAAACAGUGUUUCAUUGUGUAAUGAGUUCAUCUGUACAUUAGGCGUAUUUACCUAAAUAAUAGAAAUAUGGACGGGCCAAUGCCAACUUGGGCCUGGAUCAACAUUUUGAAACAUGGGCCGAUG